CCUACGGGAGGCAGCAGUGGGGAAUAUUGGACAAUGGACCACAAGUCUGAUCCAGCAAUUCUGUGUGCACGAUGACGUUUUUCGGAAUGUAAAGUGCUUUCAGUCGGGAAGAAGUCAGUGACGGUACCGACAGAAGGAGCGACGGCUAAAUACGUGCCAGCAGCCGCGGUAAUACGUAUGUCGCAAGCGUUAUCCGGAUUUAUUGGGCGUAAAGCGCGUCUAGGCGGCAAGGAAAGUCUGAUGUGAAAAUGCGGAGCUCAACUCCGUAUGGCGUUGGAAACUGCCUUACUAGAGUACUGGAGAGGUAGGCGGAACUACAAGUGUAGAGGUGAAAUUCGUAGAUAUUUGUAGGAAUGCCGAUGGGGAAGCCAGCCUGCUGGACAGAUACUGACGCUAAAGCGCGAAAGCGUGGGUAGCAAACAGGAUUAGGUACCCUGGUAGUCCACGCUGUAAACGAUGAUUACUAGGUGUUGGGGGUCAAACCUCAGCGCCCAAGCUAACGCGAUAAGUAAUCCGCCUGGGGAGUACGUACGCAAGUAUGAAACUCAAAGGAAUUGACGG
rnacentral:rRNA from 1 species